rnacentral:rRNA from 1 species
UACGGGGGGGGGCAAGCGUUGUUCGGAAUUACUGGGCGUAAAGGGCUCGUAGGCGGCCAACUAAGUCCGACGUGAAAUCCCCAGGCUUAACCUGGGAACUGCGUCGGAUACUGGAUGGCUUGAAUUCGGGAGAGGGAUGCAGAAUUCCAGGUGUAGCGGUGAAAUUCGUAGAUAUUCGGAGGAACACCGGUGGCGAAGGCGGCGACCUGGUCCUUGACUGACGCUGAGGCGCGAAAGCGUGGGGAGCAAACAGG